rnacentral:rRNA from 1 species
CCUACGGGAGGCAGCAGUGGGGAAUAUUGCACAAUGGGCGCAAGCCUGAUGCAGCCAUGCCACGUGUGUGAAGAAGGCCUUCGGGUUGUAAAGCACUUUCAGCGGGGAGGAAGGCGGUGAGGUUAAUAACCUCAUCGAUUGACGUUACCCGCAGAAGAAGCACCGGCUAACUCCGUGCCAGCAGCCGCGGUAAUACGGAGGGUGCAAGCGUUAAUCGGAAUUACUGGGCGUAAAGCGCACGCAGGCGGUCUGUCAAGUCGGAUGUGAAAUCCCCGGGCUCAACCUGGGAACUGCAUUCGAAACUGGCAGGCUAGAGUCUUGUAGAGGGGGGUAGAAUUCCAGGUGUAGCGGUGAAAUGCGUAGAGAUCUGGAGGAAUACCGGUGGCGAAGGCGGCCCCCUGGACAAAGACUGACGCUCAGGUGCGAAAGCGUGGGGAGCAAACAGGAUUAGAUACCCCAGUAGUC